CAAGCUGUGUUAGCCCACUCAUCAGCACAUGCACACACCUCAUGUCAGUGUCCUCACAGGCUCUGCCAGGCAUCUUCUGAUGCCACAAUGGUCAGGUGAACAGAACAGGUGCCAACCAACUAUGUCUGGUGCCAUACCUGCCUCACAGACCACACACAGCCAGAUGAUGCCUCUAUAGGAGCCUGGAGACCCGCCCACAGAAGGCAGGGGUGAUGGCCCUCCUCACCUCCACUCUUGAGGAGGUAGCGGUUGACAUCCUGGAUGGUGGUGUUGAUGGUAGGUCCAGUAGGGACACUGCCAGGAGUGACAUCAGGGUCAUUCUCGGGAUCAAUAUUCUGAAGUCCUUUCCACGGAACUCCGGGAUGGAAUUCUGUUCAUGGAAAGCAAUAUGAGGCUGCAUUCUAGAGCACCUUCAUGUUGCAUCAUGACACUUAAAAUUCAUUUUUUCAUAUUUGUAGAAAUUUUAAAAAUCUGAUAAUUAGGUUCAGAGGUACUCUUGCUUACAUAUAGUUCAUUAGAUCAGUCAUUCUUUUUGAGCAAACUAGAAACAGCUACCACAUUUUAGGUGUGAAUGCCUUUACCAGGUAGAAGCUGGUGUCCCUUCCCCACUCCCCCUUGCCACUGGCCUACUCCUAUCUUGAACUGGGAAGCUACAGAAGAAUGCUUGACACCAGUGUACUCCAUGAAGUCUCAACAGAAACCCCAAGCUAUGGACUUGAUGACUGCAGGACCCACAGUGCAGAUCUAGGCUCCCUCAGCUCUAUUUGCCAUCGUAGGCUCAGGGCACAUUUGCUCUACUGCUGCCCACGAGUAUCGUGCAGUCUUACCUGGGGGCCAGCUGAUGCUGGAGCCAUUUGAGAUCUUAUCACUGUCAGAUUUGGCACGUGACCAGCUAUGAGGAACAGCUACGGGAGGACUGGCUGGUGACUCACUGUUCUGGAUUAAAUCGUACCGGCCAUACGAGUCAUCAAUGGAGGACUUACCUGGAGGCCCGAUGCUUAGACCUCCAGGGAUAGCACCUACAGAACAGGACCAGGAACCAAGUGAACAUUCUCCCAAAGACGCCCAGGAUACACUGCAGCCUUCCCUUCCAGCAGAGCGCCUGGGGCACAACACACAGAGAGCAACACUGACGACACAGGAGCACAGGACAGGCGGUGGCGAUGGCUUCGGGAAGGUGGCCCCUUGGCUGCUAGCAAGGAGCAGGGGCAUCAUAGGCCUGAGCUGCUCCCCAGCCCCAUGACCAUGCUGCACACCUAUGACUGGGCCCUGCUGGCUUUGCCCUGUCCACUCUGGCCACACUGCCCUCUGCCAGCCCCUCGGGAGCCCAGUCAUCCAUCCUCCUCUGUCUCCCCAGGUCUUCAUGCACUUGCUUCCUCCCUCCAAGCCACCCUUCUCAGGGGCCUUCCAGACCAUCUGACCUGAGAAAACUCCCUCCUCAAGCUCACUGCUUCCCAUUCACUGCCCAGUGUGGGAGAACUUUUGGCCUGGUGAACUGUGUUUGGGUCACUUUAACUGUACUAUACAAGUCUGCUUCCACCUGCCUGGUUUCCCUGCUUUACACUAUGCCCAACAUGAUUUGGCAUUUUUAUAUAAAUGUACUAUUGUCUGUCCCUGUCA